CAUGCUAAUGCGAAAAAGAAACAGAAAAGUACGUAGCCUAAAGCUUGGGAAACCUUUACCCGUGCCAUCCCUUAAUUCUUCAUUAAUGAUUGACGGUUUCCAUUUCCCAAAACUUUCCAAAUUCCCAUCCCUGCAUCCAAAACCUUCAUUUCAUCAAGACUAGAUCUACAAAGCCUUUGUUUCACCUAGGGACCCAAAUUUUGAUCUCUUCAACAAGCCUCAAUCAGGUUCGCGAAUCCAUUCGUCUUCAAGAAUCUUCACAGCAUAUCUCGGGACAGUGCUUCUCAAGUAAAACUUCUUGCCUUUACUCAAACUUUUAGAAGCAAUUGUCUGCAAGCUUGUUCGCCGAUCUUCCGACAUGCAUGAGACAAAUCCUUCGAAAAUUCCCGAAAAUGCUCUAAAUGUUUCGAAUAUAGGGAGAAAUUUGUGACUUGUCUGUAGAAGUUGAUUUACAUUUUUUAAUAGUCGAAAGUGAGUCUCAUUCUAAAACUAUUUCUGUUAUGCCCAAAUCGAUCCCCAUUUGAGUUGCCUCGAAGCAGGUAAGGGCCUCUGCUGCAAAAGCCGAACCAACAUCUCGUGAAUAGUAAAACCGGAGACAACCACUCUCCUUCUUGCAUUUUUGGCAACAAACCUCGAUCCUAACCGAAAAAGAUUCUUGUCAAAUGCCGCGUCAAAGUUGAUCUUGACCCAAUCCCCAGAAGGGGGUUCCCGUCUUGCUAUGUCGACCACCCUGGUAUGCACAUUUUCCUCUAUUCCAUCUAUCUCACAAAUAUAUCUAUGAAUGAAGUUAGAAAUCUCUUUACCAGAUUGAAUAAUAUGCUCAUGAAUUCUUUUAUUUCUUGUAGUCCAUAGAUCCCAAAAGGUACAACCAAAAAUCUGGCAUUGCGAUGUUGAACUAAUAUUAAAAACCCAGGUAAGCCACUCAAACCACCCCUGAUCAACAUUCGAGAGAACCACUGAUAACCCCACUAACCCCCAAACUUCACUUGCAACAGGGCAACCCCAAAAGACAUGUGCUAAGGAUUCAACUCCAUCCCCGCGUCUAGGGCAUAUUGCAGUACCUGAAAGUCUUUUGAAAUAUAAAUUUGACAUAGAUGGGAUAAAUUUGUUUGAAAUAUGCCAAACUGUAAUUUUGAGUUUAGAAGGUAGAUUAAGGCUCCAUAGUUUUCCAUAGAACAUUCUAGUAUAGGUUUCGGCUUGUAAUAGUUUGUAGGCACUUCUAACAAUGAGCUCACCAGAGGGUUCACCUCUCCACACCAAUUCAUCAUCAUGCGGAAUUUUUGCAAGCGAUAUUCGGAGAAUCCUGGCAGCAUCAUCAGCACGAAAAGUAUCAGUAAUAACCUCACUUCUCCAUUCUCUAGUAGCACUAUUAAUGAGCUCAACAACUAAUACCAUAUUACAAUUACUAAUUGGAUAAGAAAUUUUAUAAUUAGCGGAACUUGAGACCCAUGCAUGAUUAAAUAUAUCAAUAUUAUUGCCCGUACUUACCCUCCAACACAGACCAUCUUGUAAUGUUUUCUUCACUUCCUAGAUACUUCUCCACAUAUAGGAUGCUCUUGCCUUCAAACUUAAGUUAAGAAAACCCGAAUUUGGGUAAUAUUUUGCAUUCAACACCCUACCCAAUAAUGAAUUAGGAUUAGAAAUAAGUUUCCACCCUUGUUUGGCUAGGAUGGCCACAUUAAAUUUAGUAAAGCUCCUAAAACCCAACCCUCCAUCCUCCUUUUAACUUGCAUAGUUUACUCUAUUCACAUCAACGUAUUCCUCUUUUGCCAUGACCUUUUUGCCACCAAAGUCGUGCUACAAUACUCUCCAUUUCCACACACAGAUUUUGGGAGGAGGAAACAAGACAUCACAUAGGUUGGAAUGGCCUGUAGAACAGACUUUAUAAACACCUUUUUGCCCUUAGAAAUAAAAACCUAAUACUCCAACUAUCAAUCUUCUGCUUAAUAAGAUCUUUCAAAAUCAUAAAAGAGGCUUUUUUUUUUCUUUCGACCCACCAUAUUAGGGAGACCCAAAUAUUUUUCUGGGUUGUUUGAGUACCUCAUCCCCAAAACGUAGGAAAUUUUUACUCGCAUCAAUUCACAAGUAUUCAUCCUGAAUAAGAUUGCGGACUUAUCAAAAUUCACACAUUGUCUCGAACUAACUUUAUACUCUCGUAAAAUAUUUUUUAAUAUAGUAGCUGCUCUCAUUGUUGCCUCACUGAAAAGAAUACAGUCAUCAGCAAAAUGAAGACAGGAAGCCU
rnacentral:lncRNA from 1 species